AGGACGAACGCUGGCGGCGUGCUUAACACAUGCAAGUCGAACGCUGAAGCCCUUCGGGGUGGAUGAGUGGCGAACGGGUGAGUAACACGUGGGCAACCUGCCCUGCACUCUGGGAUAACUUCGGGAAACCGGAGCUAAUACCGGAUAACAUCCUCCUCCGCAUGGUGGGGGGUUGAAAGUUCCGGCGGUGCAGGAUGGGCCCGCGGCCUAUCAGCUUGUUGGUGGGGUAGUGGCCUACCAAGGCGACGACGGGUA
rnacentral:rRNA from 1 species